UACGAAGGGGGCUAGCGUUGCUCGGAAUCACUGGGGGUAAAGGGGGCGUAGGCGGGUCUUUAAGGGAGGGGGGAAAUCCUGGAGCUCAACUCCAGAACUGCCUUUGAUACUGAGGAUCUUGAGUCCGGGAGAGGUGAGUGGAACUGCGAGUGUAGAGGUGAAAUUCGUAGAUAUUCGCAAGAACACCAGUGGCGAAGGCGGCUCACUGGCCCGGUACUGACGCUGAGGCACGAAAGCGUGGGGAGCAAACAGG
rnacentral:rRNA from 1 species